UACGUAGGGCGCAAGCGUUGUCCGGAAUUAUUGGGCGUAAAGAGCUCGUAGGCGGCUUGUCACGUCGGGUGUGAAAGCCCGGGGCUUAACCCCGGGUCUGCAUUCGAUACGGGCUAGCUAGAGUGUGGUAGGGGAGAUCGGAAUUCCUGGUGUAGCGGUGAAAUGCGCAGAUAUCAGGAGGAACACCAAUAGCGAAGGCAGCUCGCUGGGACGGCACUGACGCUAAGGCGCGAAAGCGUGGGGAGCGAACAGG
rnacentral:rRNA from 1 species